AGACUUAUAGACGGGUGGUGGAUAGUAUACCUUCUUGGGAGGUGGGGGAGACUUGUAGACUGGAGGUGGGUAGUAUACCUUCUUUGGUGGUGGAGGAGACUUAUAGACGGGAGGAGGGUAGUAUACCUUCUUGGGAGGUGGGGGAGACUUGUAGACGGGAGGUGGGUAGUACACCUUCUUGGGAGGUGGGGGAGACUUGUAGACGGGAGGUGGGUAGUACACCUUCUUGGGAGGCGGGGGAGACUUGUAGACGGGAGGUGGGUAAUACACCUUCUUAGGUGGCGGAGGAGACUUGUAGACGGGAGGUGGGUAAUAAACCUUCUUGGGUGGCGGAGGAGACUUGUAGACAGGAGGUGGGUAAUACACCUUCUUUG
rnacentral:lncRNA from 1 species